GGAUUACAGGCGUGAGCCACCACGCCGGGCCACUUAUUCUGUUUCAUGGGAUGAAGUGUUGCUCAAUUCUAGAAUACCAAAUAAGCCAAUUAAGAUUUUUAAACUAAAUGUGUUGUAAUUUUGUCUUUUGACAGUGCCAUUGUACAGGUGAUUCACUACUCCACCACUCCACUCACCUACUCACAAUGACGGUUUUCAACAUUUCAGGAACGGUUUCUACCUUAGGCUCAGAGCAAUUCCUACUUCUCCCUCAUGAGGAAUUGGAGGAGGUGGUGAUAAAAUUCUUCAUCUGGUUGUGAGGUGGUAUUUCACACAACUCCUUGAUAAAUAUUGGAGGUGAUACUGGAUACAGGAAAACUUACAAUAAUCAGAUUGUUACAGGUAGUUAGGCAUCAACAGGGCAGCAGAGGGCUCUCUCCCGACCCACUAGAAAUGUCAGGUGAUGGUUCAGCAAUUAACAAAUUGCCUCUCUAAGAAUGAGAAUUCGGCAGCCAGGGAGAGACAAUCUCUUGAUGGUCCACACCUGUUAACAUUAAAAGUGGGUAGAUCACCUGAGGUCAGGAGUUCAAGACCAGCCUGGCCCACAUUUUAUAUUUUUUGUAUUUUUAGUCUCUACUAAAAAUACAAAAAUAGGCAUGGUGGCACGUGAUGGCGUGCGCCUUUAGUCCCAGCUACUCAGGAGGUUGAGAAAGAAGGAUCACUUGAGCUUGGGAGGUGGAGGAUACAGCGAGCUAAGAUCAUGGCACUGUACUCCAGGCUGGCUGACAGAGACUCCAAAAAAAAAAAAAAAAAGAAAAGAAAGGCCGGCACCGUGGCUCAUGCCUGUAAUCCCAGCACUUUGGGAGGCUG
rnacentral:lncRNA from 10 species